rnacentral:rRNA from 1 species
GAUGAACGCUGGCGGCGUGCCUAAUACAUGCAAGUCGAGCGAACAGACGAGGAGCUUGCUCCUCUGACGUUAGCGGCGGACGGGUGAGUAACACGUGGAUAACCUACCUAUAAGACUGGGAUAACUUCGGGAAACCGGAGCUAAUACCGGAUAAUAUAUUGAACCGCAUGGUUCAAUAGUGAAAGACGGCUUUGCUGUCACUUAUAGAUGGAUCCGCGCCGCAUUAGCUAGUUGGUAAGGUAGCGGCUUACCAAGGCGACGAUGCGUAGCCGACCUGAGAGGGUGAUCGGCCACACUGGAACUGAGACACGGUCCAGACUCCUACGGGAGGCAGCAGUAGGGAAUCUUCCGCAAUGGGCGAAAGCCUGACGGAGCAACGCCGCGUGAGUGAUGAAGGUCUUCGGAUCGUAAAACUCUGUUAUUAGGGAAGAACAAAUGUGUAAGUAACUAUGCACGUCUUGACGGUACCUAAUCAGAAAGCCACGGCUAACUACGUG